rnacentral:lncRNA from 1 species
UGGUAGAGGUUUAACGGACUCUGCCAUAAUUUCUUUCUUAGGUGGCUCAGCUUCUUUCUCAAUUUUGCAUUUCUCUUGCCGAGGUGAGACAUCAGACAAAUCUUGUUUAACUGCUUCAAUGACAGGCCUUUGCUUGGGAAUAUUUUCAGCAAUUCCAAUUUUCGUCUCUUUGAAACCGGGCCGUGCCUGGACAGAAGCUUCAGAAACCUCAGCUUUCACUUCAGAAUACCUAGAAGGUGCACGUACAUCACUCUGCCUAUGAUCCAUUCUUUCAGCGUACUGAGACGAUUGUGCUUCUGUUAUGGAAACAACUGAGCUCUUACAACUUUCCGUCUCAAUGUCCACGGGUUGAGAAGGCUGUUCCACCUUCAAUCGUUUUAAUGAAGGUUGCAAAUGCUUCGAAAUAUCAGCAACAGGCGGAGCACAAGAUGUUGCACCAGUAGAGGUCUGUACUGCAUCAUUGGAUAUUCCAGCUUCAUUCACUGACCUUGCUGCACCACUUUCAGUUCUUAAACGAGCUAGCCGUGCAUUUGCCUGUUGCUGUAAGAAGGCCUUCACAGGAAUACAGACAGGACAGUUAGAUUCCUUACAACUUCGAUGGUGAUUAAUCAAUGUCUUCGUGGGUCGGCAACGCGGGUAUGAACAUUGAGGUGCAUCACAACUGUCCAUGUGCUUCCAGAGCUUCUGUACCGUAACGCAAUUCCGGUCAGGACACUUGCCUUCAGGCGCUUUGCAGUUGCGAGCAUGGCGUAGAAACAGGAGCCAUUUCUGUUGAUUUCUGAAUCUCGGAUCUUGAUUCCCAUUUCCAUAUCUACAAGAGGUAUCUACAGGGUUUUGAGGAUUAGGAGAUUCUGAUGUAGUGGAUAUAUGACUUUGAACUAUAGACCCUCCAGACAUAUUAUUGGGCUGAGCUUCGUCCGUUCCUGACAUUCUCUGACGGAAAUCAUUCUGAAUGUGCAGUUGGUUCGACAUACUAUUAGACAUUUGAGUAUGUUCCUGUGACUGAGAUUGCCACUGCCCAGGCAGACCAGAUUCUGAUUUCACUCCAACAGAAAGGUUGCUAAAACUGUUAAUAGAGUCUGAAGCCAUACUCUGCGGGUGCAACAUCUGCUGUAUCUGUUGGCUAUUUUGGGGAGCUGAUGUACACAUAUCACUCUGACUUGUGGCAGGGAGAAUCUGAGAACCUGCAUGACGGUCAUCUGCAUUGUUCUGGUAUUGAUUCUGAAACUGAGAAAGCUGGAAUUGCUCAGGAGUCUGGGAGUGGAUAGACUCGCUAGGGUUUUCGAUUCCAGGUUCGUGUUUAACGUGUGUACCCAUGUCAGAUGCCACAUGAUUUUGCCCAAAAGCAUCAUGACUUAUAAAUCUCUGUUGCUGCUGGCUCUGCUGCUUCAACUGCCGUUGACGAAGAAACUGCUGCUGUUGGUGUGUCGUACUGGUAGUGGUUCCCUUGACAAAGACUUAGGAACGCUUGCCUAGUAUCGAAGAACUCGCUUUCGAGUAUCUCAUCCUUGUCCCUUGUAUCUGCAGGAAUGUCCGUAAUCUCAACCUGCAAAAUCAAUACCCCGCAAAUAUUUAUAAAACUGACCGCAGACAAAAGGUGAAGGACACUAUCCUCAACAAGCGAAUGCAACUCACAGGAUAUAACGCAUGCUUAUCCUUAAAAUUAACAGGAUGCCUUUCCCUGUCUUCACGCCGCUCUUCAGCCUCAUAACACCUAAAGAGGAGAAUAACAUUUAUUAAUAUUUAUUCUUAGUGCGCAGAAGAAGGGAGAAAGGAAGAGUUCUUACUUGUCACAAAUCUGAAAGUGUUUGCACUGACUACAGCGCCAACGAUUUCCAGAUACCAUCAGCAUACAGCAAUGUGUGCAAGAAGGUUGCAAGUGGACCAUGAUAAAGUCCUCCUUCAUUGGAUGAAUGGUCUCACCAAGCUGGAAACAAAGGUGAAUAUAAAUUAACAAGAAGAACAAAAAAAAAAUAGUAAAAUGGAUAGAAAGUAAAAAGAUCACUUUAUGCAUUAGCAGCAGAUCCUUGGAUGCAUUCCCAGACAGAUCAGUCUGCCCAGAAGCCUUAAGAGCCCUUUUUGUGAUUUUUUGCUUGAGCAUUCCUUUCUUAUUUCCCUUUCUGCCGUCUUCUUCUUGACUCAUCUGGAAUAUAAGAUCCUCUGCUGCACCUGGCCAGUAGUCACCAUCGAAAUACGGGAGCCUAGCUGCAGUAACCUUAGCUCUACAUUCCCCAGUUUGCAUAAAGAAAUGAUCAUAUAGAUUAAUAGUUUCCGCCACAAUGCCCUCCUUUGAAGCUUUUUUCAACAUUGCUAAGUACCUGAAAUUAACAACAUGAGAAUUUGGAUUAUGUAAACCACUAUUUCAUACAAAAACUAGUUUUAUUCUCAAAAACUGACCACUCUCGUAGUUUAUCAGAUUUUGGCGUCUUCUGAAUUUCUGGAUGACAAUAUAAGAUAUAGUCCUCGCCCUUGAGCGGCGGACAAGCCCAUAUGUAGCAGCUCGUGAAACCACGCAGCUUGCAGUAUUCUAGGUAACCGAUCUAAACACAGGAUCAAAUUAUACCCUUAAUCCUCCAUACAGUUUAGAAAGAAAGAAAAAACUUAGAUAUUAGCUGAUAACCAAGGUUUUGAGAAGACCAGGACUUACCAGAAUUUCGUGGUAAACGAAAGUGCGCAGAGCCUCUCCGUUAUAAGAUCUAACCUCGGGUCUAAAGUACUUUACAGAAUCCAAAUAAGAGAGAUAAACUCGGCGUUGAUUAGGAAAUGCGCAUUCAGAACCAAAUUCUUGGACGUACAUCCCAAAUAAGCAUACUUCUACACCUUCAAUCUUUUGGAACAACAGAACCACCUUGCCCAAUAAAAUGGUGUGUGAGAAUGGGUGAAGGAUACUUCAAGAGAGGAUCAAAAAAGAAAUGCAUAAAUUCACAAUGAGCUUUGAUCAUUCUUACCUUGGACUUGUAUGCAAACUCUGUUGGGUAGCUGUCUUCCCGAAAAAUAUCAAGAAACCGGGGUUUGACUUCCAGCUUCUUGUCAACAGAUGAAACAACUCUAAUCACAAGGGACUCGGCAGUAGGAACCUGCCAGUAUCAAUUCAAAGAAAAAACAAUGUCAGCUUCAAUCUAUUGUUUCCAACCAGUAAUAAAAGUAUAACAAAUAGAAAAAAUGAGCUCGCAAAUGCAAACAACACAAGAAAGACAUAAAACCUUAACAAACUCCACCAGUAGAUUACCUCAUCAAAGCUUUUUCCUUGAGCCCUGGCUCUCUCUGUUCUUUCCUGCUUGAGCUUCUUAAACAACCGCUGCUCUAUAUGGUCACUGAGAAUUGUUCUCGGUAGGUCUUUAGCUCCAAGAACAGCACUCUGAGGUAAGGGUUUCCUCUUACUUUGUUCCACUUCUGCUAUAUAGCAAUAAGGGCAGGUAUACUCAGCUUGCCCUCCGUCAUUCCUUCGCCCAUUAAAUAAAGCACAGAUCUGAUGCUGCCAAGCCUCACAUUUAUCACAUUGGACCCACUGCAGAGGUAGAAACAGAUUACAGAAUGCACGAAAAAAUCAGGAGACAAACACAAAACAAAACUACAAAGUGGAGAGUUGUUUACCCAUUCUUCAGUCUCUUCAUCAUUUUUCUUUUUCUCGAGUCUUGCCUUAGGCAUAGGCGUCCCUUCAGCUACUAUAGUGUCCCCACGGGACUCAUUAUAACACGGAAUACAAAAGUAGUGACGAGUGUCACCAGCUCCUACAGUGUAAUACAUCGCAUUUCUCUUGAUGCGGGCACCACAAGGGGUACAAUAAAUAGGCGGUGGCUCAAAGGUAAGCUUCUCCACUGCACACAGUUGGCAGGAGUUCUCACUCAUUGAAUGCUCCAUAGCCUGAUUCUUUUCAGCUUUGGCUUUACUCUGCAACCACAUAAAAGAAACCAGAUUAAUGUUAAGUACAUAUAAGAAGGGAAACUACUCAUCAAUCAAGCUCUUGUGUGAACAUCAUAAGCUACCAAAAAUCACAAACCUGGCCAACCCACUGACGAAGACCCCGGAUAUGUUCUCUUACUUGCUCAGGAGUGAACAACUCAGUUAACGAAACACCCUUUAUCUCUGCUUUUCCAGAUUUUGGUAGAGGUUUAACGGACUCUGCCAUAAUUUCUUUCUUAGGUGGCUCAGCUUCUUUCUCAAUUUUGCAUUUCUCUUGCCGAGGUGAGACAUCAGACAAAUCUUGUUUAACUGCUUCAAUGACAGGCCUUUGCUUGGGAAUAUUUUCAGCAAUUCCAAUUUUCGUCUCUUUGAAACCGGGCCGUGCCUGGACAGAAGCUUCAGA